ensembl:lncRNA
AUUCCAGCAUCUCCAUUAGCUUUGUUCAUAGUAAUGCUUCAUAAGGCCCUCUUCUGUGUAUUCUUGCUACCUCUUCUUAAUCUCUGCUGCUUCUGUUAGGUCCAUAAUGUUUCUGUCCUUUAUUGUGCCCAUCUUUACAUGAAAAGUUCCCUUGGUAUCUCUAAUUUUCUUGAAGAGGUAUCUAGUCUUUCACAUUCUAUUUUUUUCCUCUAUUUUUUUUUUUUUUUGCAUUGUUCACUUAAGAAGACAUCCUUAUCCCUCCUUGCUAUUCUUUGGAACUCUACAUUCAUGUGGGUAUACUUUUCCUUUUUCCUUUGCCUUUCACUUUUCUUUGAAGAAGCAUGUGUAUUUAUCUUCUCCUGUGAGAACACCAAACUUGCAACUAAAUGCCGAACAACCAUCGACAGGAGAACGUUGAAAGCCACCAGAAAAAGAUAUCCAUGUUCAAGGGCAAAAAAGAAGCCACAGCAAAAAGAUGGUGAAGAACAAGGCGGUAGAGAGAAGUGGUCACACAAGAGAGGAAGGAACCACAAUGGCCAAACGCAACACGGCGUCUUACAUGGGGCCUUGGAAGAAAAGGACAUUAGUGGAAAAAUGUCAUCAACUUAAGGAUCUUAGGAAGAGGCGAUCAUCCUGAUUCGUCCAUGGGUCCUGAAUCCAAUGACAAGUAAACUGAUAAGACAGACCCACAGAGAAGACACGCCAAGAGAAGGCUAUGUGAAUAUGGAGCAGAGGGAUGCAGUACAAGUCAAAGGAUGCCGAGAGUCACCACCAUCUGGAAGAGGGAGAGAGCAGAUUCUUCUCCAGAGCCCGAGAAGGGUGGGCCCAUCCACGCUUCGACUUUGGACUUCUGACCUCUGAAACUGAAGUGAAUAUUGUGAUUGGUUUUGUUUAAAGCAGUCUGGUUUGUUAUAAUUUGUUACAGCAACUCCAGGAACUAAUACAGCAUUUAUGGUAAAUAUUACUGUAGACAUACUUAAGCAGAGAUAUUUACUUUAAAAUUGACUCAGUACUUAAUUUCUCUUUAAAAAUAAUAUACAUUCUUUGAUUAAAAACAGUAAUCUUGAAAAAGAUUAGCCAGUUCCAGAUUUUCUUAUUUCCUAGGUUGAUUUCUAUCUAUAUGACCUAUUAUAUGAUAUGUGGUCACAUAUAUAUAUAUAUAUAUAUAUAUAUAAUAAUUUCUACCCAUAACUCUGCCACCUAAAGCUUGUCUGAAGAGUCUGUCAUUCUAUCAUUAUUAUUUAUUUAUGUUAUUGUCUAUAAUAAUAAGGCAUAUACAAAGGAGCUUAAUGUUCAGAUAAGGAAAUGUAUUUCAGAAUAUACUGGUAAAUUAGGUAGAAGUGAUGAUUUUUAGCAGCAGGUCAAUAAUUUAAAGACCAUUUCUUAAUUAAAAAAAAAUAGUGUUUCUCAAGUCACAGGGGUAAGUUUUACUCUAUUGCCUACUUGGAAAAGGAAUGCUUUUCCUAAAACAUAAAUUGCUAAAAAGCUACUGAUGUUCCUGCAACAUGUGUGCACAUGUGGGGAGACGUUGCCACACACACUUCAUAGGGUGAUGAAGAAGGAAUUCAUAGGGCCUGGACUCCAUCUUAGGCCUGUUCAUGCUGAUCAUGUUCGGCCACCUUUCCAAUGAACUCUGAACUCUGUGUUUAGUGCCUAUGAAAACAACAACAGAAGGAUAAGACCCUCUCCAGACAGGGGAACCUUGAAGAUUGUAUCUAGCUUACUUAUCGCCUAAGAGAAAACAUACACUAAUCACCCCUUCCUCCAGACAGGCCAUAAAUGUUUCUGUAUCUAUCGGAGUGUAACCUCAGGUUUAUUGAUUAUUGGCUAAUUGUUUGACUGUUUGAGCACAUGAGCACAUAGCACGUGAAUGAUGGGGUUAUUGGGAUCGUAUUUUCCUCGGUUUAAGUCUCAAGGAAUUUGGAGUGGUGGGUUCAGACAUGUACACAUGGGGUAUAAAAGAUUUUCACAAAUGCUUGUCGGGGUCCUUGGCUAAGAGGAGACUCUGUCUUGGGCGCGCCGGUGUAAUAAACUGCACUCC